AAACAACAGGGAUUGCUCAGUAACGGCGAGUGAAGCGGCAACAGCUCAAAUUUGAAAUCUGGCCCCCCGGCCCGAGUUGUAAUUUGCAGAGGAUGCUUCUGGCGACGCGCCUUCCGAGUUCCCUGGAACGGGACGCCACAGAGGGUGAGAGCCCCGUCCGGUCGUGCGCCUAGCCUGUGUGAAGCUCCUUCGACGAGUCGAGUAGUUUGGGAAUGCUGCUCUAAAUGGGAGGUAUACGUCUUCUAAAGCUAAAUACCGGCCAGAGACCGAUAGCGCACAAGUAGAGUGAUCGAAAGAUGAAAAGCACUUUGAAAAGAGGGUUAAAUAGUACGUGAAAUUGCUGAAAGGGAAGCGCUUAUGACCAGACUUGGGCCCGGUGAAUCACCCAGCGUUCUCGCUGGUGCACUUUGCCGGCCCAGGCCAGCAUCAGUUCGCGCCGGGGGAUAAAGGCUUCGGGAAUGUAGCUCCCUCGGGAGUGUUAUAGACCGUUGCGCAAUACCCUGGGGCGGACUGAGGUACGCGUUCUGCAAGGAUGCUGGCGUAAUGGUCAUCAGUGACCCGUCUUGAAACACGGACCCAAGGAGUCGUCUUUGUAUGCGAGUGUUCGGGUGUCAAACCCCUACGCGUAAUGAAAGUGAACGUAGGAGAGAGCUUCGGCGCAUCUCCGACCGAUCCUGAUGUUCUCGGAUGGAUUUGAGUAAGAGCAUACAGGGCCGGACCCGAAAGAAGGUGAACUAUGCCUGUAUAGGGUGAAGCCAGAGGAAACUCUGGUGGAGGCUCGCAGCGGUUCUGACGUGCAAAUCGAUCGUCAAAUAUGGGCAUGGGGGCGAAAGACUAA
rnacentral:rRNA from 1 species